rnacentral:rRNA from 1 species
UACGUAGGUCCCGAGCGUUGUCCGGAUUUACUGGGUGUAAAGGGUGCGUAGGCGGCUUGGCAAGUCAGUAGUGAAAUCCAUGGGCUUAACCCAUGAACUGCUAUUGAAACUGUCGAGCUUGAGUGAAGUAGAGGUAGGCGGAAUUCCCGGUGUAGCGGUGAAAUGCGUAGAGAUCGGGAGGAACACCAGUGGCGAAGGCGGCCUACUGGGCUUUAACUGACGCUGAGGCACGAAAGCGUGGGUAGCAAACAGG